GAUCCUGGCUCAGGAUGAACGCUAGCUACAGGCUUAACACAUGCAAGUCGAGGGGAAACGAUAUUGGAAGCUUGCUUCCGAUAGGCGUCGACCGGCGCACGGGUGAGUAACGCGUAUCCAACCUGCCCAUCACUUGGGGAUAACCUUGCGAAAGUAAGACUAAUACCCAAUGACGUCUCUAGAAGACAUCUGAAGGAGAUUAAAGAUUUAUCGGUGAUGGAUGGGGAUGCGUCUGAUUAGCUUGUUGGCGGGGUAACGGCCCACCAAGGCGACGAUCAGUAGGGGUUCUGAGAGGAAGGUCCCCCACAUUGGAACUGAGACACGGUCCAAACUCCUACGGGAGGCAGCAGUGAGGAAUAUUGGUCAAUGGGCGAGAGCCUGAACCAGCCAAGUAGCGUGAAGGAUGAAGGUCCUACGGAUUGUAAACUUCUUUUAUACGGGAAUAAAGUAUCCUACGUGUAGGAUUUUGUAUGUACCGUAUGAAUAAGCAUCGGCUAACUCCGUG
rnacentral:rRNA from 1 species